CAACGACACCUGAAGACUCACACAAAAUCAAUUUUCGAUAGACCAGAACGAGCGGAAUCGCGCGAAACUAUUUCAGAUGAGGAUGCUCGUUCAAAGGAAAACGCAUCAGAUCGCAGCUCAGCCAUAGCUCGUAAAUCCGAUAAAGAGAGUCCCUACAUCGGUAGGCUUCAACCGUUUCAGUGCAAUGUGUGCUAGAGAGUGCAAAACUGCCAAAAACUUACAAUAUCAUAUGAGAGCUGUGCACGGUCCAAAAAAUCAUGUUUGCCUUACCUGUGGAGUUCGAUUCACUAAACGAAACAAUUUGAAUAUGCAUCUUCUCACCAGGAAUCAUUUGAACAUGUUAAUUAAAAAUUCGCUUCAGAACCAACUGUCGGUUACUAUAAAGGAGGAUGUUGACGAGCAAAUAACAUCCACAAAACCAAAGAAAACUCAAACUGCAUCUCUGGAAAAAUCGGCAAUGGACGAAAUGUCACAUUCUCCCGGAACAAAAAUCGAAAAUGACAUCGGUCAAAAAGAAAGCAGCGCGCCCGUUGAGAACAGUAUGGAUUCCGAAGGACGUGCCUCAACUGCUUCAAAUGCAACUGAUCAAGAGGGAUAUCUUUGCUUGAUUUGCAACCGAUCGUUCAAUCGACAAAGUAAGCUGACUAACCACAGAAGAGUUCAUGAAGAGCCGCCCUCAAGUGUCGGAGAGGAUUAAGAAUAAUCCUUUAUUGUUUAAUAUGCAAACUCUUCUUCACUGUUAUUGAAAGCUUAUCAGCAAAGCUCGAGCAUUUAAUGCAAUUCAUUCAUUUCCGUGCGUAGGAACGUGUAUGCCAGCUUACAUUUGGUAAGUGUAAUAAACGUUCUGAACUGUU